GAUGAACGCUGGCGGCGUGCCUAAUACAUGCAAGUCGAGCGAACGGACGAGAAGCUUGCUUCUCUGAUGUUAGCGGCGGACGGGUGAGUAACACGUGGAUAACCUACCUAUAAGACUGGGAUAACUUCGGGAAACCGGAGCUAAUACCGGAUAAUAUUUUGAACCGCAUGGUUCAAAAGUGAAAGACGGUCUUGCUGUCACUUAUAGAUGGAUCCGCGCUGCAUUAGCUAGUUGGUAAGGUAACGGCUUACCAAGGCAACGAUGCAUAGCCGACCUGAGAGGGUGAUCGGCCACACUGGAACGGAGACGCGGUCCAGACUCCUACGGGAGGCAGCAGUAGGGAAUCUUCCGCAGUGGGCGAAAGCCUGACGGAGCAACGCCGCGUGAGUGAUGAAGGUCUUCGGAUCGUAAAACUCUGUUAUUAGGGAAGAACAUAUGUGUAAGUAACUGUGCACAUCUUGACGGUACCUAAUCAGAAAGCCACGGCUAACUACGUG
rnacentral:rRNA from 1 species